rnacentral:rRNA from 1 species
ACUAAAAUGUCUACCUCCUUGUCAAUGCCUGAUCUCAUUUGAUCAUGGACGUUAAGCAAAGCUGGGUCUGGUUAAUACUUGGAUGAGAGACUGCUGAUAAUAUCCUGUGCCACAGUG